rnacentral:lncRNA from 12 species
AUGUGUGACACGGAUGGGGUCGCGGCAGGUGGACAGGGGUGGGUGGCGCACACAGCCAACCCCCCCGCCGACCCUGCUGGGCGGCUCCCACCUCCUUCCCUGGGUGCGGGGCACCUGACACGGGGCUGCACCUGCUCGCCUUGGGGUGGGGGCUCCCCUCAGGCUGGACCCCAGAAGGCAGGCGGGGGUGCGACCCGACACGUUGGAGGGCGCACCCCACAUUGCGCAGGAGCCCGUGGCUGCACCCCUGCUCUCCCCGCGGCUGUGGGGGAAGGAAGCGCCCUGGGGCGCCACCUCCUGGUGGCUUCUCGCCCCGCACCUGCUCACCUGAGCAACCUCGCCAGGGUCCCUGCUAGGCCCGAACCCACCGUGUGUAGGACCCAGAAGCCCUGAGACGUUACGGUUUCGACGCAGAAGGUUAAUGACUGAGCGACGAAAUCCCGCCUUGGAGAACCGGGGAUGGUAUCCAAGGGUCUACACCUGUAGGCACAGAGAUCUGUCCCGUGAGCUCCUCGUUUCGGGGGAACGUGUACUGGUCACGCAGGGCACAGGGGCGCGGGGUGUGGUGCUGAUGCGCGGCCUGUGGGAGGUGAGCUGAAGCUCGGGACUGCAGGCUGGCCCCGGCUCCAGUCCGGGGGGUGCCCACCCGAGGGCACGCAGCAGGCGACGUCUGGGAGCCUCAAAGCAAUCUUACGAGAGAGUCUGUCCCCACUUACAGAAGAAGAAACUGAGACCUAGGGGGCUAAGGACCGCCCCGGGGUGACCUUCUCCAGCCCCGGGCCAGCAGCACAGCAGGGACGCACUCCCUGUGGCAGGGGGGUGGGUCCCAGAGCUGAGCGCUGCCCCCACUGCCCCCGGGACACCUGGACCCCGUGCCGCAGCUGAGGGACCUGGCCGGGGUCUCCGGUGAUGAGCCCAAGGUCACUCAAGGUCAUGUGGGUGUAGACCUGGGGGGAGGUGGAGACCCUGAGCCCAUGCCCCAGAAGGCUGAGCUUACAGACCUGGGAAAACGCUCGGUUUAAUUUCAGAUGCCGGCACCUCCGUGCGGGAAGGAGAGCGAAGCUGAGCCCAGGCUGGGCGGCCGGUCUGGGCCGUGGGGGACUGUCCUCCGUCCCCUGGGCUCCCAAAGGCCGGGAAGGGGGAGCCCGGGGUCGCGGCCUGCCGACCCUUUCUGGAGCAGGUGCCCAGGCUCCUGGCGCUUGGCGGGGACCCCGACACGCAGGGAGCGGGACACACGUUUUCCUUUUAAAUCACGGAGGUUUUUUAUUUUACAUGGAAGUAUUUCAUGUUUUGUAACAAAUUUUAGCGAUUUCUAGUGUUUAGAGGCGACCAAAGCUGUCAAGUGUGGGUGUGACCCGUUUCCUGGUGGGGACCUUGUCGCCACCCCGAGGAA